AAUUCCCCCUUCUUUUCCUCUUCCUCUCCCCUCUCUCUAAUCCCUCUUCUUCCUCCUCCUCUCGCCCCGAUCGAUUCCCCUGCGGUGGAGGGAGCGAAGAGGAGGGGAAGGAGACGAGGUAUUUAGGAAGGGUUUGGCGAUGAGGAGGAAUCGUUGCUGUUAAUGGAGGGGAGCUUCUUAUGGAGCUCCAACAGCUUAGGGUUUGCUCCCCUGUUUCCCUCCGUUCCCUUGUUCUUUACUGUAAGGUGCUACAUUGUUGAAUAUCUAAUAAUUCUCAUCUAUGGUUUGAUCCGGUAUUUCGUAGAUUUAGUUGCAGUUUAUUUCUUAAAAAUUGGUUCAAAUUACACUAGUUUUGAGAAUUAUGCUUUUAUAGUUUAAUUAGGUGUAAAAAAUGGAUAAUGUGGAAACACAAAUCAUUAGGCACUAAAAUUGUAAUGUAAAUAUGAGGAUCCGUAUGGUAUAAAAGUGAUGUUUUUAGUCACAACAACUGUAAACUCUUUCGCGUUUUUCCACCUUGUCUAUAGAAGAAGUUGUUAUUCUUUAUUCUCCCAGUUUGUAGUUGAUUUGUUAUCUCCAUUUUGAUUUCCAAUCAGUCAAUGAUGGAUAAAUUUGAUUCCCAUGAGUAUUAAACUGCAGGCCAUAUGUUGAAAAUUCUGAAAAAAUAGAAAACUGGUAAAACUUAGGCUGUAGUUCAUAAUUAGUUUACUAACGGAUACUAUCGUUAGUACAAUGAUCAAUUCUGUAUCUCCUAGCUUUUGCAAUUCCCAUUUCAUUUAUAUAUAAGGUUAAUCAUAAAUAUUUGUAUUUUUUGUCGAUUAUUAUGUUGUAUGUUUCAUAUUUUAUGAGGUUAGUUGUGGAUUUCUUUCUCUUUUUUUUUUGAGAGAUAGAUAGCACGCUACCCGCUUCGUUUAUUUCAAUUAGUUGUAGAUUCUAGUACCAAGGUUGUGAUACUAUGACAGAGACUAGUCCAUGAAAGUUUUACAUUGUUGCCGAGAUUUUGCCGGCUAAUUGGUGAUUGUUGUAUUUUCUUAGCAGUAUAUUCCUUUGGGUAGAACAGCUGAGUCUUCUAUGGUUGUUUGAAGUUUGAGUUAAACAACAUGUUCAUGAUAGAACUACUAGAAUGAAGCUAACAUUGACAAAGAUCUUUCUAUUUGGAAUGAACAAUCGAAGCUGAAAUUACAAUAUUCUUGUAUGCUACUCAUUAAGGCCCCCAACCUACUUUUCAGUACUUUUACUUUGUGGAAUAUUAGAGUUUCAAAUAAUGUACAAUGCAGAUGUUAUAUCUCCUCCCACUUGUCAUGAGAAUGAGCUUAUGAACUCCACAUGUACUGUUAUCAAGUUGCGUACACCGUGUGCCCAUCAUCAAAUUGUGUACACUGUUCACAAAUUGUGUGUCUGUUGCUGCUUUUGCAGAGAAAAGAACCCUUUGCUGUUGCUUCCAAGCUGGAGGCCUUACUACACUUCAUAAUCUAUCUUCGUAGCUUCUCUCUCCUGAAUUCUUUGAAAUCUGCAAUCAACCCUGUGUCCACAUCAUGUUUCAUCUUCUCAGCUAGACUCUUCAGAACCUGCGUUAUUAGAACAAGCAUCACUGGUCACUGACUGAAUGGACAAUUGAUUGAGCUUUUCUUCUUCUUCUUCUUCUUUUUUCCUUCUGAAAGUGCAGUUAAAUGAGCUAUUUUGUGGUUCUCACCGACUCAAUGACGCUUCUCCAGGCAUUUUCUGAGAAGAAAGGUAGCAUGGUCGGGAGGACUACGCUGAUGCUCAUCUCUAGGCUGCCCCUAAGACGGCGGGCGCGGUGGCUCCCCUUGUUUGCAUACAACACCCCUUCUAUGUUGAGAGCAAAGUAAGACGGUACCUUGUUGCUAUCCAACCCUUCGAGCUCCCAUUUAGUCUGCAAUCAUAAUUAACAAGAAUGCCAUAUUGCAGAUGCCUGUAAUCCAUAGUCUCAAUCUUAUAACAGAAAUUGUCUGGGAACUGUUUUAAUGCGUAGUGGGGAUUAGGUGGACCAUGCAUGUGGCAUUAAUGGAACAGGUAAUUAAAUAAGGGACUAUGUGACUAUCGCAAAAUUUUAUUUGGAUGCAUUAUAUGGGAAUUUUCUUUUAUGAUUUCAACAGAGGGGUUGAUUUUAGUCCAUUCGAAGUACUUAGAACCUUGUUGAGCUUUUAGAAUAAUAAGCUCCACCUGUGAAAUAGCUGAUCAUAUUCUAGUAAAAAGGAGAUCAUAUAUACUACAUAGUUGUAGACCUCUUUUUAACCAAUUAUACGCACUCUUUUCUUUUUUGUGGAGGUAAUUAUAUGACCUCUCUGAGUGAACAAAAA
rnacentral:lncRNA from 1 species